rnacentral:rRNA from 1 species
CCUACGGGAGGCAGCAGUGAGGAAUAUUGGUCAAUGGACGCAAGUCUGAACCAGCCAAGUAGCGUGAAGGAUGACUGCCCUACGGGUUGUAAACUUCUUUUAUAAAGGAAUAAAGUGUGGCACGUGUGCCUUUUUUUGUGUAUUCUAUCAAUAAGGCUGCGCCAACUUCGUGCCAGCCGCCGCGGGCAUUCUGAGGAUCUGCGCGUUAUACGGAUUUUUUGGGGUUAAAGGGAGCGUAGAGGUGUUGUUAAGUAAGUUGUUAAAAGUUGCGGCUUAACCGAGUAAUUGCCAUUGAAACUGGGAGUCUUGAGUGCAGUAGAGGUAGGCGGAAUUCGUGGUGUAGCGGUGGAAUGCGUAGAUAUUACGAAGAACCUCGGUGGCGAAGGCGACUUACUAGACUGUAACUGACGCUGAGGCACGAAAGUGUGGGGAUCAAACAGGAUUAGAUACCCUAGUAGUC